UAUCACGCUCGCCUGCAACCUCUGAUAAGAAAUCAAAAGAAUCGAGAGAGAAACAAUGGCGUGGUAUGCUUUGAAACCCUUCCAUGUCCCUAUGAUGAAGGCUGGCGCACUUCGUCCUCGGUCUCCGCUGACCAUCGGCGGCUUCGGGUGCGCUUCAGUCGUCGGGACAAACCUCUGGAACUCUUCUUCCCACCCAUCUUUUUCUCCGCCCUUCGCUUCAUUAAGCACUGCCACCACUUGUUCUAAAAAGGAGGCUGUUAAGACAGACAAGGCUCCAGCAGCAUUGGGACCAUAUUCUCAAGCAAUCAAAGUCAACAACCUUAUAUUUGUUUCUGGUGUUCUAGGUCUUAUUCCGGAGACUGGGAAGUUCAUCUCAGAUAGUGUUGAGGAUCAGACGGAACAGGUGCUAAAAAAUAUGGGUGAAAUACUAAAAGCUAGUGGUGCUGACCAUUCAUUCGUUGUAAAGACAACAAUCAUGUUGGCUGACCUGAAAGAUUUCAAAAAAGUGAAUGAGAUCUAUGCAAAAUACUUUCCUGCUCCAUUUCCUGCUCGUUCAACGUAUCAGGUAGCAGCAUUGCCAUUGGAUGCAAAGAUUGAAAUUGAGUGCAUUGCUGAACUUCCCUGAAAACUUGAACUCGGGCCUCAUCAUUUAGGGACUUGGCCAACUUCAGAAAGUGCGAAAGUUAACAAGGUGGGAUGGGGGUGAACUGACCAUGAUAAUUGUGGUCUGCUUUUGUCUUGCUUUUCUCAAAUGUUGCUUUGUCUAGUGCGACACUAAUAGUGAAAUAGUGGUCUAGUGGACAUCAUUUAGAGCAAGGGAUAAGCCCUAAUGCAAUUGGGGAAUUGGGAAUGGAUAAAAUUUGAGGAUGCUAAAAUUUUUAUUAAAAUUUUGUUGUAGCGGUGUUAUCAGCCAAG
rnacentral:misc_RNA from 1 species